rnacentral:lncRNA from 1 species
CGCGAUCGAUUAGAGCGAUGACUUGGGUAUCCAAAGGGUGACUCGAAAGAAAAGCCUAUUAUGCGAUGCCUGUACAGGUCCUAUUAUAGGGAAUCAUGUAUACUUGCGUCUAUAUAGGCAAUGUCGUUUACAACAUCAAGUGUAUACAUACCUGUAUACCGCAUAGCCUAAACAUCCCUUGCUACAGGUUAUGAUGUAAAAAUGUACUUAUAAUACUAUGCCAUACAUGAUCGUAUAUUAGGCCAUCACUUACACAUGCG